AGGUUGCUCGGGUCGACACCACGGGUGACCACCAGAUAGUCGCGAAGCGCGAUGCUGUGCCGCCCCUC
rnacentral:sRNA from 1 species